rnacentral:rRNA from 1 species
UACGUAGGGUGCAAGCGUUGUCCGGAAUUAUUGGGCGUAAAGAGCUCGUAGGCGGUUUGUCGCGUCUGCUGUGAAAACCCAGGGCUUAACCCUGGGCCUGCAGUGGGUACGGGCAAACUAGAGUGCGGUAGGGGAGAUCGGAAUUCCUGGUGUAGCGGUGAAAUGCGCAGAUAUCAGGAGGAACACCGGUGGCGAAGGCGGAUCUCUGGGCCGUAACUGACGCUGAGGAGCGAAAGCGUGGGGAGCGAUCCGG